rnacentral:lncRNA from 1 species
UAACUGUCAGGCCAUAUUAAGCCACAGUACGGAAGAAGCUGUGCUGCCUGUGAGCCCCGUCCAAGGACGUUAAAAGAAGAAGUCAGGCCCCAAAGCCACGGUUUGAGCAAACCGUGCUGCCUGUAGCUCCGUCGU